rnacentral:rRNA from 1 species
CCUACGGGUGGCAGCAGUGAGGAAUAUUGGUCAAUGGGCGAAAGCCUGAACCAGCCAAGUCGCGUGAGGGAUGAAGGUCCUAUGGAUCGUAAACUUCUUUUAUAAGGGAAUAAAGUGUGGGACGUGUCUGGUUUUGUAUGUACCUUAUGAAUAAGGAUCGGCUAACUCAGGGCCAGCAGCCGCGGUAAUACGGAGGUUCCGAGCGUUAUCCGGAUUUAUUGGGUUUAAAGGGUGCGUAGGCCGCCUGUUAAGUUAGCGGUGAAAGUCUGUGGCUCAACCAUAGAAUUGCCGUUGAAACUGGGUGGCUUGAGUAUAUUAGAGGCAAGCGGAAUGCGUGGUGUAGCGGUGAAAUGCUUAGAUA